rnacentral:misc_RNA from 1 species
AAGAUACUUACUUUUCUGACCCCAUUGGUCUCCAUUUUCUCAGGAAUCAGAAAGAAAACUCCAUGGCUAUUUCCUCUGUCUCUUUCCUUCACUUCAUCCUCUUCUUCCUUUCUCUCACCCCUCUAAUCUUCUCUUCACCAUCAUCAAACCUUCCACAGAACUUCAUCGUCCACGUCGCGAAAUCUCACAAGCCAAUCCUCUUCUCCUCUCACCGUGAUUGGUACACAUCAAUCGUCCGAUCCCUCCCUCCCUCCUCCCACCCCACCAAGAUCAUCUACACCUAUGGCCGCGCCAUCAAUGGCUUUUCUGCCCACCUCACUGCAGCCCAGGCAGCAGCACUCCGCCGUGUUCCUGGGGUCCUAUCCAUUGUCCCUGACCAGAUUCGCCAGCUCCACACCACCCG